rnacentral:rRNA from 1 species
AGAGUUUGAUCAUGGCUCAGAACGAACGCUGGCGGCAGGCCUAACACAUGCAAGUCGAACGGGCGUAGCAAUACGUCAGUGGCGGACGGGUGAGUAACACGUGGGAAUAUGCCUUUCGGUUCGGAACAACUCGGGGAAACCCGUGCUAAUUCCGGAUACGCCCUUACGGGGAAAGAUUUAUCGCCGAAAGAUUAGCCCGCGUUGGAUUAGCUUGUUGGUGAGGUAAAGGCUCACCAAGGCGACGAUCCAUAGCUGGUUUGAGAGAACGACCAGCCACACUGGGACUGAGACACGGCCCAGACUCCUACGGGAGGCAGCAGUGGGGAAUCUUGGACAAUGGGCGCAAGCCUGAUCCAGCCAUGCCGCGUGAGUGAUGAAGGCCUUCGGGUUGUAAAACUCUUUUGGCGGGGACGAUAAUGACGGUACCCGCAGAAUAAGCUCCGGCUAACUUCGUGCCAGCAGCCGCGGUAAUACGAAGGGGGCUAGCGUUGUUCGGAAUUACUGGGCGUAAAGCGUGCGCAGGCGGCUGCUCAAGUCAGGGGUGAAAGCCCAGAGCUCAACUCUGGAACUGCCUUUGAGACUGAGUGGCUUGAGUACGGGAGAGGUGAGUGGAAUUCCCAGUGUAGAGGUGAAAUUCGUAGAUAUUGGGAAGAACACCGGUGGCGAAGGCGGCUCACUGGCCCGUAACUGACGCUCAUGCACGACAGCGUGGGGAUCAAACAGGAUUAGAUACCCCGGUAGUCC